rnacentral:lncRNA from 1 species
CUUGAAUCUAGGUUAUGACAUAUAGUGAUACUUAGUGAAAUUGAACUAAGUUAUGGAUUAUAGUGGUAAAAGGACCACUAGGAAAUGAAUGGUAUAGACCUAGGAAGGUCGUCAACGUAGGGUAAAUGUGUAACCCUUAAGUUGUGAAAGUGGGUUCCGGAAUCCCUAGGAAUGGUGUUGUUGGCAAAAAUAGAAUCAGAACUACGGGAUCGACGGUUCUCUUCUCCCGGUAGUGAUUCAACGGGAUCGACGGUUCUCCUCUCCCGGUAUGAGCUCAACGGGUUUGACGGUUCUCCUCGCCCGUUAAGCUUGAGCGACUUAGGGUCACGGGGAUCGACGGUUCUCCUCUCCCUGUGAUUGUACCUAUUGUCGUGUGGACUUAAGGCUGAGGUGUUUGUGAGACGUCCUUCACCUCGAGCCUGACUUGACGCGGUACUCCGCGGAUGAUUGACUCGAGGCCGAGUCGGGUGGAUAGCUUAAUUAAGGUAGAUGAAACCUUAGAAGCUAGUGUGAUACGAGCUUUGAAUAGCGAGAUGGAAAGUAGGAUCAGUAGAUCUACUUGUUACAUAGUUGCAUUAUAUUGUUGCAUAUUGCAUAUCGUGAGGCAUACAUGUUUUAAUAUCUGCAUAAAUUAUUGUGAUUAUCUGUUGGACUAACAUGUUACAGUGCCUCCUUUGGACCUGGUGGGUCGAGCUCUUCCCUUGGGUGGCCGUACCCACUGGGAACUAUAUUUAUAUAGUUCUCACCCCCGUGUUGUUUUUGGGGGUACAGGUUCACACGCGAGUGGCGCAGCGGCGCAAGGACAGGGCGUAGCUCCGUAGAUAGUGCCCCACCACUGAGACCGAGAUAGCAAUACCCCGAAGAGGUCUAGCUCAGAGUUCAGAUUGAAAGAAACAAACUUGUAGUAAUUUGUAUAAAGGCUUAUGUAAUAACUUAAAGGUAUUUGUAGUAUUGUAAAAUGUAAUAAAUCUCUAAGAUGAAUGCUUGUAAUAGCAUAGUAGCAUUUUAUGUUUUUGAUACUUGCAAUCGAUGCUGAAUACUGUUCCUGGUUGGAACCUCUUGUAUUGCAUUGUAUAGAUUGUGACGCCUAGAACGUACAGGGAAAGCUCUGUCCGUUAGGCGGUCUGUUGGCGUGUCCGAAUCCGACCAAAUAGGCGGAGCUCGGGGCGUGACAUGGUACUCCACUGAACUUUAAAGAAUUCAAUAAAUCAGCAGGAUAUAAAAGAUCCGCUUCUUCAGCAUUCACGGAAGAGCUACAAAUCGAAUCGGCACUUGUGUAUAUCUUUUCUUCGCCUUUAAUUAAGGACAGAACAUAUGUAUUAAUUUUAUCAACAGUCUCAUUUAUAGGUGUGAUAAUAGCUCUGUCUCUCAAAUAGAAUGCAUCAUUAUAAUUAUACUCGAGAUUAUCAUAUAUUGAUGCAACAAUAUCUCUGACACCAUUUCCGCUAUUUUUUAUGAGAAUAUCAUCAGGUAUCUUAAUCCAAGUAGGCUCUUCUUCAUUGUCCAACUUAAUAGCGGAUAUUUUUCCAUCACCUAAAUCAAGUGUCCAUUUUGCAAAUGCUUCCAAAUCUGCUUUAUCUUCAGUGUUUUCCGGGCAUGUACGCAACCGCAUAUUCGUUGUUAGGCGAUAUAGUUUAUAGUGCUGCCAUAUAUAUGAUUUAGUAAUUGAUGCAUUCACUAUAUCCUGUGUAACAUACCGAACUUAUAAAGUUAUGAAGUUGCGGUGUAUGUUAGCUUGGAAGAGUUAAAAGUGAGUUCUAGAAGUGUUAGAAAGGUUCUAGCAUCGACCGAGGCGAAAUGGAGUCGAGUCGAAGUCAAAACCCAAGUCUGGAGCAAGUGUACCGGUACAGCAAGCGACCUGUCACCGAUUUCAGCAUGUGAAACCGGUGAUACAUCAAAAUGUACCGGUACAUUUCGGGCGAAAAUGAGAGAUAUGCUCUUGGGUUUGCCUCUGCGUGGUCGUGGAACCGGUGACACGGGAAAGUGUACCGGUACACCUUGGCAGAAUGGCACAGUUUUGAGUCUGCUGCAAAUGUGAAUGUUUGGGGGGUUUAUUUGCAAUUGUUGCAACACCUAAAAUACCCCAAACACUCUUCCCUUUUACAGCAGCCCCUCUUCUCUUAUUUUCUCUCUCCCUCUCUCUCUAGAAACUCAAACCAAAGGUGGAUUUGGAGGAGAUUGAGGAAGUGUUUGAAGAUUUUUGCGGGNGGCGGGUAGUGCUUGGGGACGACCCGUGCCUGGACCACUUGGGGACUGUGGAGCCUGGGCCUUGGGCAGGCGCAGUCAGCUGUAAAUGACAGCGGCCCUGUACCUACGGGUAGGGCAGAGUUUUGGUUAGGACGGUAGUCCGAGCUUAGACCCGGGUGCGUGGAAUGCCACGUGUUGGAUCGUGAGAUCGAGGAUACACCAAAUAUGUGGUGACCCAACCCGAGAAUUUGGCGUGGUUUGGGGUCUUGAUAGCUCCUGGUUGGAGUGUGUGUGAAUUACCAAGUGAGAAUUUCGCCCGAAAUGUUGGUUGGGUCUACGCUUGCGAGCGAGAGACGUUGCGUGUGUCGAGACAGGUUAGGCGGUAGGUCUACGUAGAGUUGGCGGUCUAUGGACCACCUGCGGAAACCGAGGAAAGUGGCUUGGCCGGUAACUCUGUUGAGGAGCUGGGAUUAGGAUUCACGAGCAGAGUCUUCGUGAGCGGUUUGCGACAGCAAAGUCGAGUUGGUCGUGGCAAUGGAAGAAAAUAAGUGGUCUCUUGGAGACGCUUGAGGAUUGGAUAGCCACGUGAGAAAUGACGUAAAGCUCUCUUGAGGAUUGGAAUCGAGAUGUGCCGGAGUGUGCCAUCUCGUAAUAGAGCGAGAUUCGGUUGAGGUUGGAGCACUCGCGAUUGGUCGAUGCACCAAUGAUAUUGCUUCUAAGCAAUGCCGGUGAUCGAAUCGGAGUGUGUUCCCUGAUGAGAUGAGAAAUGCAAAGAGGAGUUCUUUGCUAGCAGGUUGGCAAAUGGUGUUGGAGCGUGUGGAGUCGUCAAGUAUCGACUCACGCUGCCACCGAGACUUGCAGAGUUGUAGUGCACUUUCAGUGUUGCGCUUGGCGAAUGUGAGUGAAGCUAGUCUCACACCUUCCGUGGUGGGCCUUUUGGAUUGAUCCGAUGAGAAAAAGGCCACUCCGAAGUGUGAAAGUGCGUUGGGACCCUCAAAUUGUUCGAUAAAUCGAAUUGAGGUAUGAUUUGAAUUUCGCGGAUGAAAUUCUUUUAAGGGGUGGAGAAUGUAACAUACCGAACUUAUAAAGUUAUGAAGUUGCGGUGUAUGUUAGCUUGGAAGAGUUAAAAGUGAGUUCUAGAAGUGUUAGAAAGGUUCUAGCAUCGACCGGGGCGAAAUGGAGUCGAGUCGAAGUC